rnacentral:rRNA from 2 species
UACAACUUUCAACAACGGAUCUCUUGGUUCUGGCAUCGAUGAAGAACGCAGCGAAAUGCGAUAAGUAGUGUGAAUUGCAGAAUUCAGUGAAUCAUCGAAUCUUUGAACGCACAUU